GACAGAUUUUGGUACCAAGAGUGAGGUGCUACCCUUACAAAAGUUUAAAUGAGAGAGUGGCUUUGAAAACAGGCAGUGGACAGAAGUGGAAAGACUUCGAGGAAAGUGUCAGUGAAAGCCUGAAGAACCUGCUAAGUAGAAGCCUUUGUGGAGGCCACAGAGUACCACCUGGCCUACAGCCUUGAAUGACUGAUCUUCAUAACAUGUUAUCCCACUUCUUGAUCAUGGCUACUGGACCAGUGACCGACACCUGCUCAAGACUGGCCAAUCAUAUUUCCUCUUCCAUGCCUCUGGAAUCUGAACACUAAAAUGUUACUACACUUGGCAGCAAACCAAGGAGAGGUCAUGCAGAGCAAAGACUGCCAACUAGGAGUGAUAUAAACCAAUUGCGAUAAUUAAGAUCACCUGUUCUGGGGGAAGCCCGAUGCUAUUUCGUAAGGAGACUCAAGCAGCCCUAUGGAUAGGGCCACACAGCAAGAAACUGAGGCCUCUUGCCAACAACCAGCAGCAACUGGCUAGGUAUGUGAGUGAGCUGGCUUGGAAGCAGAUAUUUCAGACCCAGAGAAAUCUCCAGAUGACUACAGCCCCAGCUGACAUCUUGACUGCAGCCUCGUGAAAGACUGCGAGCCAGAAAUGCAGAGAAAAUACAGACAUUAAAUAUACAAUUACAAGUAUGAGUAAGUAGUCACAUUAUGAGAUAUGUUAUUAUAGAAAUAGGAACAGAGUGCACACACAGAAGUGGGUUACCCAACCCAGCUUAGCAAAAUCAAAGAUUUCAUUUGAGAAGGAGGUGAGAGUUAGGUCUUAAUAACUGACUUAGUGUUAGUCAAGUAGUGGGACUA